rnacentral:rRNA from 1 species
AUACGUAGGGUGCAAGCGUUAAUCGGAAUUACUGGGCGUAAAGCGUGCGCAGGCGGUUUUGUAAGACAGAGGUGGAAUCCCCGGGCUCAACCUGGGAACUGCCUUUGUGACUGUAAGGCUAAAGUGCGGCAGAGGGGGGUGGCAUUUCGCGUGUAGCAGUGAAAUGCGUAGAUAUGCGGAGGAACACCGAUGGCGAAGGCAAUCCCCUGGGCCUGUACUGACGCUCAUGCACGAAAGCGUGGGGAGCAAACAGGAUUAGAUACCCUGGUAGUCCACGCCCUAAACGAUGUCAACUGGUUGUUGGGUCUUCAUUGACUCAGUAACGAAGCUAACGCGUGAAGUUGACCGCCUGGGGAGUACGGCCGCAAGGUUGAAACUUAAAGGAAUUGACGGGG